rnacentral:rRNA from 1 species
CACGUAGGGCGCAAGCGUUGUCCGGAAUUAUUGGGCGUAAAGAGCUCGUAGGUGGUUUGUUACGUCUGCUGUGAAAACCUAGGGCUUAACCCUGGGCUUGCAGUGGAUACGGGCAUGACUGGAGUUCGGCAGGGGAGACUGGAAUUCCUGGUGUAGCGGUGAAAUGCGCAGAUAUCAGGAGGAACACCGGUGGCGAAGGCGGGUCUCUGGGCCGAUACUGACGCUGAGGAGCGAAAGCGUGGGGAGCGAACAGG